AUUGAACGCUGGCGGCAUGCCUUACACAUGCAAGUCGAACGGCAGCACGGGAGCAAUCCUGGUGGCGAGUGGCGAACGGGUGAGUAAUAUAUCGGAACGUGCCCAGUCGUGGGGGAUAACGUAGCGAAAGCUACGCUAAUACCGCAUACGAUCUACGGAUGAAAGCGGGGGAUCGCAAGACCUCGCGCGAUUGGAGCGGCUGAUAUCAGAUUAGGUUGUUGGUGGGGUAAAAGCCUACCAAGCCUGCGAUCUGUAGCUGGUCUGAGAGGACGACCAGCCACACUGGAACUGAGACACGGUCCAGACUCCUACGGGAGGCAGCAGUGGGGAAUUUUGGACAAUGGGCGCAAGCCUGAUCCAGCAAUGCCGCGUGCAGGAUGAAGGCCUUCGGGUUGUAAACUGCUUUUGUACGGAACGAAACGGUUCUUUCUAAUACAGGGAGCUAAUGACGGUACCGUAAGAAUAAGCACCGGCUAACUACGUGC
rnacentral:rRNA from 1 species